rfam:Parcubacteria (Giovannonibacteria) bacterium GW2011_GWB1_47_6b TY02_C0015, whole genome shotgun sequence.
GCGAGAGUAGUACAGUGGUAGUACAUAUCCUUCCCAAGGAUAAAAUGCGGGUUCGAUUCCCGUCUCUCGCU